AUGUGGUGUGGAUGUAUGUGUUGUUGCCUCCCUGUAUCAUCCUCUGUUGUAAAAUAUUAUAUUUGAAAAAUUAGACAUUUUGCUCAAAAGUUUUUAAAGAAAUGACAACAAAAAAAAGCAAGUUACAAGAAUGUGGCAAUUCUAUUUGUCCAAGAGCAUUCUUACACAACUUUCUUUUGUAAAUUUUUCUUUCAUGCCAAAAAACAUGCGGGCAAUUUGUUGAUGUAAGUUGACUAUAAAUUAAUAAAGUAUGCUUUUUCUUCAUUUAAAUUAUGUUGUCUAUACGAAAUGAUUUCUUUCUUUGUUUUCCCUACAACAGCCUCUAUUUUUAAUUUGCUUUUACUUUUUUUUCUGUCCUUAUAUUCUGAAUGCCUUGUUGAUGUUAUUUGCUGUCUUUCCCUCUAGCUUACUUUGGCCCUGAAGUUGAUUUUAUUUUCUACUAUAUGAUUUUGAAGCCAGUAUUAACUAUUUUAUUUUCAUUUGUGUCUCUUCGCUUAAUUUUCAUUGUUAUGUUUUGUGCUGAAUUGCUUCUAAUAAUCAAUGUGAAUUCUACUCUUGGUGGAAGGGUGUGGGUAAAUUGAUCCUGCCAUCCAAAGGAAGCCUGGCCUCUUUGCCUGAACCAACUUUUAAAGCCUUGAAAAUAAUGGCAGGCUCUACAGGGGGAUAUAAAAUUGGAUACAACCUUCAGGAGGCCUAUCCCCCAGAAGAAAAUUAACUAACUCCCAGUGCCGUCAGUGGUAUUUACAUGCUAGUUUAGCUCCUUAGAGAGCAUUCUGGGAAAUCAGUCCUUUACUGUAUUUUCCUUCAGUAAAGGGGAAGCAAGGUACUCUCAAGUGACUAUGGUAGAGUUUGGAUAUCCAGGAUUAAAACAUCACCAUCACCACAAGCUAUAACACCAAUUUUACUGAGAAUAAAGACAUCAAGGAUGCUAGGGGUUUACAGUAUUGUCCUAUGAUAACAAUGCCUUCCCAGUGUAUAGAACUAACCACUGGUGAAAACACACACACAGUAGGCACCCAACUCCUAUCCUCUCCCUUUCCUUCUCUCCCUCUCUCUCUCUCACUCCCUUCCUCUCCCCUCCCUCUUUCUCUCUUUCCUUUUCCUUUUCUAUUAAUAGUUGCCAUUUUUUUUUCUCAAGGAUUUAAUCAGGUAAGCUUUAAAAGGAUCCUAAGAUUCUACCAAGAAGAAACAUGAUGAUUUUCACAUCUAAAAUUUUAUUUAGCAAAGGCUUCAGGUAGGUAUUGCCAUUUUGUGUGACUCUAUGGUGAGACUAUCCCUUGACCUUAAAGGUAUUUGAAUCAAUGUUACCUUAUGCUUCAGGAAACAUAAAAUCAGCAAGUGCUAUACAAUUUUUAAAUAGAGAGGUUUAUUUGCUUCACUUUAGUAUUAGCAUUAUCUGAAACUGUUACAGAAAUACCAAACUGAAGGGUGGAUAAGGAGUAUGUUUCCAACCCAGCAGCUUCAAUGAAUGGGAUUUAUCAGCCUUGGUUUAUGUGAUUUUAUAUUAUUUGACAUGUUGGAUGACAUUUUAGAUUUAAAACUAAGAACCUCCUAAAUGGAGUGUUAUUUUAUUGAAUUGAAUAGAAAGCUUUUAUUUUUGUGGAGGAUGCUAUCCAUAAUUCAGUUUAGCAUAAAGCUAAUCAUUUAUUUUAAAUACAAGAACUUGGAAUUAUUGUAAAUCAUUCCUCAAACUCUGCAUUUAAAAUAGCCUUGAGGAGUUCCUGUCGUGGCGCAGUGGUUAACGAAUCCGACUAGGAACCAUGAGGUUGCGGGUUCGGUCCCUGCCCUUGCUCAUGUUGCCAUGAACUGUGGUGUAGGUCACAGAUGCGGCUCAGAUCUGUCGUUGCUGUGGCUGUGGUGUAGGCCAGUGGCUAUGGCUCUGAUUUGACCCCUAGCCUGGGAAACUCCAUAUGUCACGGGUACAGCCCUAAAAAGACAAAAAAAAAAAAAAUUAAAAAUAACAAAAUAAAAUAGCCUUAAUAGGAGUUCCCUGGUGGGCCUAGAAGCUAAGGUUUUAGCAUUGCCACUGCUGUGACUCAGGUUAGAUCCUUGGCCUGGGAACUUCCACAUACCACAAGCACAGCCAAAGAAACAAAGCAAAAUAAAAUAGCCUUAGCUUUAAUAAUCUAGAUUCUACAUUAUUAUUUUCUACCUCAGCAUGAGGCUACCACAUAAAAUAUGGUCAGAAAAAAGUGAUCAAUCAAGGAUAUCACUAUUUAUAGGCUCAAAAUAUUAGUAGAAAUGAUACGAGUAACUAGUAUUUUGGAGUAGCAGUAGCCUCAGUGCUAAAUACUUAAUAUGCAUUAUAAGUAACAUUACACGUCUUGUUAUCAUUUACAUUGGUGGCUCCAAGUAGGCUGUGUUAUUAUUUCCCAUUUUACAGAGAUUUUAAUAAAUUUGAUCAAACUCAUAUGCUUAGUAAGCCACAGAGCUGUGAUGCUAACCUCAGUCUGAGUGACUUCAGAGGCAAAGCCCUUAAUAAGCAGAUGAAAAACUCCACUCCUGGUAGACACGCCUUCUUUUACAAUGUACAAGGAUAUCCAAGGAUACAGCUCAUCUUCCCUGGGCACACAGUGAAAAAUAGAAUCUGCAGCCUUUCAGAAUCAAACCCAUUUCAGAUCAACUAGGGGGAACAUGUCCUAGCUACAAAUUCUCUUCUCAUCCAAAUGUUGACUUAAGUUGAGCCCCUUUGAGACACGAGUUUUUCUGAUGUCUUCUUCCCAAAGACCUACCAUGUCUGUCCAUGGCUAUUUCUUCUGAGGAUGGAUAAAGAGCCAUUUCGUGGUUACAAGCAUCUAGCUAUUUGUGUUUUGAAACUACACACUUCUAUGGCAACAUCACUAAAUGAAUACCAUUCAAUAACUAAUUCAUGGGGGGGGGGGAGAUGAUUUCUACCCCUGCUGUGUGAAUUUCCCAGUAGAGAAUUAGAAAAUGCAAAGAAGAGAGGACAUAAAGAACCUGAAUAUAAAUAAAAGAAAUUCAAGGACUUGGAGCAUGGUACUCUCUCCCAGGCUCACUCUUCAGUGUCAUUGUUUUUCAUAUUUUUUGGUGAUUUCUUCAACUCAAAUAUCUCCAGAGGCAAAGGUUGGAGCCCUACUGAAAUUUCGUGCUGCUCUUCUUGUUUUUUGAGAUAACCCACUACAUCACCAUCACCUACAACAUUCUCACAGUUCAGAAGAGUUCUGUUAAAUUUUUAAUACACUGUCUUUUUCGAUGGCAGAGAGCCCCUCUUGCUGAAUAUCAGCCCUAGACACAUGAAUUAUAUAUCUAUAAAUACACUCAUAAAGCAAAAAAGCAGGGCAGCCUUCCGGGCUAAAAUAGACCUUUUAUAUGCCUAGUGAUCUCUCUGGUUUAAAGAAAAGCACAACCCUGUCAAAAAAGGGUAUAUAUUCCUGAUUUAAAAUGCUAACUCUAAGAAAUACAGAUAGUUCUUAUUCCAAACCCAAGAAAAAUUCUGGGGAUGGAAUAGGAAAUUAGAGUUUUGAUGGAUUACAGGUUUUGUAUAACUCUGCCUGCAACCUCUUAUGACUUGAAGCUUGUUGCUUCUGUGAAUACUUUUGUAAGCAUGGACAGCUGGUGAUCACUAACUCCAUGGUCUUAGGGCAGUGGGAAAAAAAAAAAAAAGCUGCUCCAACAUUUCUGAGGAAAGUCACUUUGGAUUAAUACACAUAAACAUAAAAUCUUAAAUAGCCUUCCACAACCUAAGUCAUUUCUAGUAAGGAUCUAAUAACAGGUGAAAUACAUCCCUCACCUCUUUAUCUCAAAUGAUGUGUGCCCUGGGUUCCCCAGGACACUAGAGUCAUCUUAAAUCUUAAAGAUGGAAUUUGGUAUUUAGAUUAUACACCUCAACUCAUGUCCAGGUCCCAGGCACCUUCCACAUUUAUAGCUGUCUAAAAUUUUCCACCUCUUUUCACUAUAAUUCCCCUUUGUAAUACUGACCCCUACAUCCCAGUGGACCCCCUUUUAAACUGAAGACAAUUCUUCCAGUUCCUUGAAGUGCCAGGAAAGGGGAGCUAUAAAAGUUUCCACCACUUCAUUGAUUAAACACUACAAGGAUUUGGUCUCUAGGGUCCUUGGUGGGGGCAUCAUUUAUCAUUUGUUAUUGCUGCUUCCAAGAUGGAUAACAAAGUAACAAAGAAAACUGAAGAUUAGACAUUUUAAUGGAUUAUAUUAUUUAAACGCUGCAUCGCAUACCCAUUCAGGUUGGAAAUAAGGUCUUACCAUUCCACUUAGGGGAUCUCUAACUUUUUAGAAGCCCUUUGUAAAUUAGUAGGCUUUGAGACCCUCUUUCCAUCACAUUAUGAAAGGAUGAGUGUUGAAGGUGUUGAAUGAGAAGGGACUAGCAAAGGAAAGUGGGAAUGAUACAACCACAGAAUGAGCAGUUUGUAGAUUUUUAACAACAAAGACUGUGGAGGCUUUAGCUGGGAUUGAAAAGACAGGGAGAGGGGGAAAAAAAAAAACAGGCAAUGUAAAGACUCCAGUUGGGUGUCACAGAUGGUACACUAAAGUUGCAAAUGAAUGCCACUCUGUGUUUAUGAAGACGGGGAUCUUAAUCUCACUGAAAGGGACACUAGCAUCCUACUUAACAAUUUGCGUUUGUAUUUAAGUUAUUUGUACCAGGACUUUGCCUUCCAACAAAUCAGUCAUUCCUUGUCCUUUAUCCCUGUUUACUCUCUACUUAUCAUAUGUUGGGUUGAUUGUUACCAUUGCCCUCGGGAACAAAAUAGACUCUUGCUAUUUAUACCAGAAAAUAACACACAGGAUAAACCUUUGUUCUAGGUGAG
ensembl:lncRNA